GCCCCGAUAGCUCAGUGGAUAGAGCGACCGCCUCCUAAGCGGUAGGUCCCGGGUUCGAGUCCCGGUUGGGGCG
rnacentral:tRNA from 1 species